rnacentral:rRNA from 1 species
AACGAACGCUGGCGGCAGGCUUAACACAUGCAAGUCGAGCGCCCCGCAAGGGGAGCGGCAGACGGGUGAGUAACGCGUGGGAAUCUACCCAUCUCUACGGAAUAACGCAUGGAAACGUGUGCUAAUACCGUAUACGUCCUUCGGGAGAAAGAUUUAUCGGAGAUGGAUGAGCCCGCGUUGGAUUAGCUAGUUGGUGGGGUAAAGGCCUACCAAGGCGACGAUCCAUAGCUGGUCUGAGAGGAUGAUCAGCCACACUGGGACUGAGACACGGCCCAGACUCCUACGGGAGGCAGCAGUGGGGAAUAUUGGACAAUGGGCGCAAGCCUGAUCCAGCCAUGCCGCGUGAGUGAUGAAGGCCCUAGGGUUGUAAAGCUCCUUCACCGGUGAAGAUAAUGACGGUAACCGGGGAAGAAGCCCCGGCUAACUUCGUGCCAGCCGCCGCGGUAAGAC